rnacentral:rRNA from 1 species
ACUCAAAUGAAUAGACGGGGCUCCGCACAAGCAGAGGAGGAUGUGGUUUAAUAUGACGCUACGCGUAGAACCUUACCCAGGCUUGACAUCCUUGGAACCCACUGGAAACAGAGGGGUGCCGCAAGGAGCCAAGUGACAGGUGCUGCAUGGCCGUCGUCAGCUCGUGUCGUGAGAUGUUGGGUUAAGUCCCGCAACGAGCGCAACCCUUAUCGUAUGUUGUAUUUUUCAUGCGAGACCGCCCGGGCCAACCGGGAGGAAGGUGGGGAUGACGUCAGGUCGGCAUGGCCCUUACGCCUGGGGCUACACACGUCCUACAAUGGCCGGUACAACGCGCCGCGAAGUCGCGAGACGGAGCUAAUCGUACCAAAACCGGUCUCAGUUCGGAUUGGAGGCUGCAACUCGCCUCCAUGAAGUCGGAUUUGCUAGUAAACGCAGGUCAGCACACUGCGUUGAAUACGUUCCCGGAGCUUGCACACACCGCCCGU